GCAGCUUGCUGCGGGUACUCCGAGUGGCGAACGGGUGACGUAACACGUGGCGGUGAUCUGCCUUGCACUUCGGGAUAAGCUUGGGAACACUGGGUCUAAUACCGGAUAGGACAGCCUGUUUAGUGUCAUUGUGGAAAGUUUUUUCGGUGCAAGAUGAGCUCGCGGCCUAUCAGCUUGUUGGUGGGGUAAUGGCCUACCAAGGCGUCGACGGGUAGCCGGCCUGAGAGGGUGUACGGCCACAUUGGGACUGAGAUACGGCCCAGACUCCUACGGGAGGCAGCAGUGGGGAAUAUUGCACAAUGGGCGGAAGCCUGAUGCAGCGACGCCGCGUGGGGGAUGAAGGCCUUCGGGUUGUAAACUCCUUUCGACAGGGACGAAGCGUAAGUGACGGUACCUGUAUGAGAAGCACCGGCUAACUACGUGCCAGCAGCCGCGGUAAUACGUAGGGUGCGAGCGUUGUCCGGAAUUACUGGGCGUAAAGAGCUCGUAGGUGGUUUGUCGCGUCGUCUGUGAAAUUCCGGGGCUUAACUCCGGGCGUGCAGGCGAUACGGGCUGACUUGAGUGCUGUAGGGGAGACUGGAAUUCCUGGUGUAGCGGUGAAAUGCGCAGAUAUCAGGAGGAACACCGAUGGCGAAGGCAGGUCUCUGGGCAGUAACUGACGCUGAGGAGCGAAAGCAUGGGUAGCGAACAGGAUUAGAUACCCUGGUAGUCCAUGCCGUAAACGGUGGGCGCUAGGUGUAGGGGGCUUCCACGUCUUCUGUGCCGUAGCUAACGCAUUAAGCGCCCCGCCUGGGGAGUAC
rnacentral:rRNA from 1 species